CAGUAGCCGCGGGAAUACGAAGGGGGCUAGCGUUGUUCGGAAUUACUGGGCGUAAAGCGCACGUAGGCGGACAUUUAAGUCAGGGGUGAAAUCCCGGGGCUCAACCCCGGAACUGCCUUUGAUACUGGGUGUCUUGAGUGUGGAAGAGGUCAGUGGAAUUGCGAGUGUAGAGGUGAAAUUCGUAGAUAUUCGCAGGAACACCAGUGGCGAAGGCGGCUGACUGGUCCACAACUGGCGCUGAGGUGCGAAAGCGUGGGGAGCAAACAGGAUUAGAUACCCGCGUAGUCCCUGUCUCUUAUAC
rnacentral:rRNA from 1 species